rnacentral:misc_RNA from 1 species
UGGUGGAGCGUGUGGCAGAGAAUGAGGCAGUGAAGAUGAUCCGGGUGAAGGAGGGUUUGCUCAAAGUUGGAGCAGCAUACUGUGAGCUUGCACAAAAGUGUCUUAUGAUCUUCACUGCACAUAUGAAUGUUGCAUCAGAGUUGCCGGACGUGCAUGACCGAGACCUCCAUGACGUUAAAUAUACAGGUGCAGGAGCAGCCAAGAAGUUUGUUCAGCAAGCCAAAGAACAGGUCCGGGCAUACAAGCAGGACAGUCUCUCUCACAAACCUCCUUUGCCAGAAGACCCUCCACCCCCAUAUACCCCUUCAGUGGAACACUUGAAUGACCUUUCUGCCAUCACUAACCACAAUGGAACAAAUGACUCUUCAGGAUACAACUUGAACAACUCUUCGCUGAACCCAUCUGCCCCCCGAGCCUCCAUGUCGUCUCUGAGUCCUCCCAAGCCAGAACCCCGUGGUGGUCGUGGGGAAAGGAACCAAGCCAUAGGACCCAAUGCUUCCACCACCAACUUUGAUAGUCCCCCACACUAUCCUCCUCCUAGCCAUAUGUACCCUGACCUCCCAGGAGAUUUCCCUGCAGUCGACAUCCCUAGCUCUCCCUCUCACAUGCAUCCUCAGCCCCCAUCUGCACCAUCUCAUCCAACUUCUCCCCACUCCACCAGUGCUCCCAACUUGGCCAAUGAUAAUUCAGUUCACCAUGCAGUCAAGUACCCUCCCCUUAAUGUUGGCGACAACUCGAGUUAUAACGACACUUGCUACCAACCUGACACAUCAUCAUCAAGUCCAAACCUCUCUUCCCAUCGGCAUGCCAGCAUAGCCAGCCCAGAAAACUCUAAUCCUUUCAACCCCUACUAUGACUGGUUGCCAGACAAGAAUGGAAAGAAGGAAAAGGAAGAAGAGGAGUCUUUAGAUUUCCAGACGUCUACCCCUCGACAGAAUAAUGCAGAAGAGGGGCAAGAGAACCAGGAGUCCAGACCCAACCCGCCUUCAGUUCGGCCAAGAACAGGUAGAAACCCUUUCCUUGAAGAUUACUCUGAUGAUGAUGAUAAGGAUGACUAUGACCAGGGAGAGGAGAGCUUAUCAGGUGCCUUAAGAAAAUCCUCUAUUAGAUAAGUCUGGAAAAUUGCCACUGGAGGAAUAGAAAUACUGUAGAUAACUGAAAAUGUGAAGCUCAAUAUGCAAGGUAAAUUGAAUUAUAAAAAUUCCAGGCAAGUCAGUAGCAUAUGUGUGAUAGGGAAGCUAUUCCUCUCUUAAUUUGUCUUUGUGGUUGAUUCAUUUAUUCAGAUUCUAGGAAAAAAAUACUAACACUUGUAUUUAUGUGUACAGUACAUAUUUACAUGUCAUUUGAAAAUAUUCUUAGAAUUAGCCAAAGGAUUGAUAAAGUCUGUUGUUUUACAGCAGACUAUAUGAUUUAAAAAAUAUAUAAAUAUAUUGAUUUUCAGUGUCUUACAAACAACAGAACGUGUACAUUACAGAGUUUAUUGUAACUCACUCUGUUUGUGCAUAAAAGCCAAACAUUGACACAUAUGCUUAAGGCACCAAUGAACAAAUUGAUAGUUGACUUUAGAGAAAGAAAAGUAAAAAAGUGUGAUGAACACAUACUGUACAACAACUUGGGCAUUGGGUAUUGUCUUAUUUUUCAAAGGUACACAAAUCUAGAGCACAACAGGUAAUCCAUUGAUCACAAUAUUUGCUUGUAUGUUCCAGCAUCACCUAAUGGCUUUUAAAGUUGCUUUUAUGGGCAUAGAUAGACAUUCACUGCCAUGUAAUUUCUAUGAUUAAUAAUGCCCACUUGCUGCUGACUCUGUUACUUAGCUAUGCAUUGAUCUCCACUCUCAGGUACAAGAUUUUGUCAUCCCUGGCAUGUCAGGUCCUGUAGCUGUAGGAAUUAACCCCCCCCCCCCCCCCUCAAGGUGCUAGUGUGUCUCAAGUCAUUGAUUUUGUACCUACUGAUUAAUGACUUGUAUAUCUUUGUAUUUUUUUUUUUUUUUUUUUUUUUAUGAAUGAAUACUUUGUUUUAAAUGCGAAUGGAAGAAAAAUGAGAUUUGUUUCUCCUUUUUUCCUAGUGAUAGUGUCAGCCUUGCUUCUUUAAUCAACAUAUGAUUCUUUUUAUUAUUCUUUUUUUAUUGUAUGAGGCUUAAAAGUGAUAACCUUUAUGUAGGCAGGCAUGGUGUCUAAGUGGUUAGAGUGCCCGCCUCGUAUGGACCUCCUAAGGACCCCUGGUUAAUCAGAAGGCGACUCCCCUCUGUCAGCCGAGCUCCCAGGAGAGAACAAGGUGGUUGUGCUUUGGUUUUGACUGACGACUGGUUUUAUAUGAGUUGAGUCCAUAGCUGGCAGAGAUAGUGGUACAAAAAUCAUUCUGCCUCAAAUUAUGAGAAUUGUUUCUAGAUCUGCAUUUGUUUUUUUCCUAACUUCUGUACUAUUGUUGAUUUAGUUUAGCAGUUAUUUUAACCUGAAAUGCCUGUUGUUCGAAGCCCAGUGAUCUGAAUUGUUGAUAAAUAUCAACAUUAUGAGAAAGGGCAUCAUGUAUAUCCUGCUUGCAUGGUUUAUUUGUGUGACCCCUGAUGAAGGGUGAGUGAUAGGAAUGUUCAUAUUUUUAAUAAUUCCCUAAUUUUAAUGAACUCUUAUUCCUAUACAAUGCAAUAAUUGUAAUGGAAGUGACAUGUGAUGUACAUGGAAAUGUGAUGUUUUUUGUUUUGAUUUGUUUUUAGAAAAAGCAUUUGUCAAAAUGCAAUAGCAUUUACAAGACCACAAUUGAUUAGUUUAACAAAAAAAGAGACAAAAGUAAUGAUGUUGACAUUCUGCGUCAAACAAUUUUUUUUACUAUUCAUGUAUUACUGCAUAUUACAAAUACUUCCAUAGCGAGCAUAUGAAAACUUUUCAUGUUUGCCCAACAUAUAUAAUUUUACUGUACGUAUGGAAUAUGUUGAAGAUUUCACUGCCUCUGUCUGUGUUCAAGUGCUUUAAAAAAAUGAUUUGCUCACGGUAAACCAACUGAGAUAACUUUCCUCAAUAUGUCAAUAAAGUGUGCCAAUGAUGAGCAGUUAAGUCAUAAGCGAUCUGAUUGUGGUUUCAGAAGAAAUGGGCUGUGAAUAUGUUGUUCAUAGCUUAUAGGAUCUAUUAACAUUUUAGGAGGAGGAAGAGAAUCUCACAAAAUAUAGAUAUAGAUACAUCUAACCAAGAAUUUAAUGUCGAAAUAAGGUACUGAUCACUUGUUUUUUAUUUGUGAUUUUUAAAAAAAUUCUAUUUGCACUGUCUCUGCCUUCUUGCUCUGUCUUGUCUUUUUUUUAUUCUAUUAUCAUCUCUUUCAUCUUCCUCUUUCACAUCUGGUUAAUACUUUGGCUGUAUUAAUUAAGCAGGAAAUUAUUCUCCUUCAAAGAAAGAAAAUGGCUAAAUUGCCCAUUUAUAUACUGACCUAAGGGAAAAAAAUCAUGAAUUAAAAAAAAAAAUACCCUAACUUUCAGCAAAGACUAAAAGAAUGUUUUUCUGGCCCUUUUUGUAAACUUUUUUUAGUAACGGCUCCUUGUAUAAAUGAUGAUAUACUCAAUGAUAAUCUGCAAAAACAUUAUUCAAAAGUAUCCACUAUAAAGACAUGUGCAUUUUCUCAUAGACAUUAUAAAGCAAGUAAAAUUCAACAUAUAGUUGUUCAUAUUAUAAACAACAUUUGUACAAAAUAACAGAAUUAAAUUGGAGGAGAGUUGAGCCAUACAUCACCUCAUGAGAAUUUAAAUUAUGUAAUGUUGCAUUUUUGCAAUUUACUCGGUCAAGGUGUAUAUACAUAAAAUAGCAUUUUUGCAAUUUCAGCAACCAAAGGGAUAGUCUUCCUACUCUUCAUCUCCACCUUCUUGUCUUUUCUCCUCUUUUCACCUUCAUUCUCCUCUUAUUUCUCUUCCAUUUAUAUUAUAUUUUGAACAUAUCUCUUUAACAUGACAAAGCUUUGUGCCCAAUGCAUUUCCUUUGAUAAUAUCAUAUUAGUUUGAAUUCUUGUUUGGUCACUCUAUUAUGUCUUUCAUUUCAUAAAGUUUAGACCUGCAUGGUUAUGCCUAUAUGCAUUGACUUUUAUUACUCUGACCAUUAUUUUUACUCUGCUGGACAGUAACAUGUAAGUGAUCUAAAUAUCACUAUUAUUUUAAUGUUGCAUUUACAUUGGAAAAUAUAUAGCUUUGCAACUCUCCUUAGUUGCGCUUUGCUUGACUUACUGGUACUGACUUGCAUUAUGAUGUACAGUAAUAUUUGUAUAUCAGAGAGCAAAAAAAGUGUAAAUGUUUAAAAAAAAUGAAUACUCAUACCAAGAUCACAUGCAACUAGAGAUUAAGCUUUAUUUUCUUUCUGUCCAUUUCAGUCUCUUCAUUAUUGUAGUGUACACGUAGAUUUAUAAUUUCACCCUCAUUGUUGCAUUAUAUGUAAUGGAUUAAUUCAAAAGGACUAUUAACUCUAGGUUUUAAUUGUUGCUUAAGGCACUAAUCUGAAAUAUUACUAAUUCCACCAGUUUAAAGCAUUAUUUUUAGAUGUAGGCAUUAUUAUUUUCCUUUUCAGAACAAAUUUGCUCUUCUCAAAAAUUAUGCAAAAGUCAUGGUAUGCUUUUGAAUUCAAUUGUUUUCUUUUUAACAAAAUGUAUUAUUAUUACAGAUAUAAAAAAAAAUUAAGUAAAAAUCAGGAAAGUGUCUUCCUUGCCUUUUAGUCCUCAUUAUCAAACCAACUGAAGUAGUUACAUAAGGUUAAUAUAAAGAGAGCAGCUGAAUAAUUCAUUACUUUAUAAACUCAAUUUUUACCCUUUGAUCUGCUCCUCAAAAAUGCAAGUGAUGUCUUCCUCUAAUUCAUGUUCCUCUUGAGUGUCUUAUUGUAAAUGAUUAUGAUAUUGAUGUCCCACAUUUGCAUGUUCCCCUCUUUGUUUUGGUUGCAUGGUUUGCAAAGUACAUGAGGAAAUUCCAGACCAGCAUAUUUUGGCAUAAGACUGAUCGAUUUGUGUGUAACCUCAUUUGCAAUUUGGUGAGAGGAUUUUUUUAAUUUAAUUUUUUUUUUUUUUUAAUUAUGAAGUUGAAUCCUUUACUUUGGUGACUUUUCAGGAUAGUAAUACAUAUAUGUUAUAGAUCUGAUUGGUGUACUUGUUUUUUAUUAUUUUGUUUUGUAAGGUGAAAAGUUUGUGAAUAAUAUUAAAUUAAUUAGACAUCUUACUUAUUUGUAAGUAAUGUAAGCAUGUAUAUAAUGAUCCUGUUAGCAUAUCAUUUUGAUACAGAAAAAAUAGAAUCAUAACCAUAAUUCAAAAAUUCAUUAACUGUAUUUUAUUUCCUAUGUGACCAUAUAUUUUUUCAAGGCAGUACAUUCUACUUGACUAGACAUAUCAGUUAGAAAAUGUAACAAUUCUAAACUAAGAUUUUGAUUAUUGUUAAAUGCAAAUGCAGUUAAAUCCCGAGCAAGAGAAAUCAUUUGUAAGAAAAUGCUAAUCUUCAGGAAGUUGUGCCAAAAAGUAAUAGUAUUCAAGGAUGCGUCAAUGAUAUUCAGGUCUGUUUUAGAAUUGAAUAUUAAUUUUUUUCAAGAAUGUGUUUUGUAUGUUUAAAGGAAUGUUUUUCACUAUUACUAUACAUAGAUGACUGAUUCUUCAGUAUGACAAAAAGGCCUAAAUACUAUAGAAACUUACAUAGCACAAUGAUAUUGUAACAUGUACUCUGUAUGUGUUAUUUCAAAUAAUUAUGUGUCUUUCAUAUUCUUCACUUUAGUGUACAAUCUGUGAAAUGGUAUGUAUAUGUUGAAUCAUGUGCAAGUUAUGUUGAAACUUUUGUUGCAAAUGCACAAAGAAACAUGUGAUAAAAUUUAAAAUCUCAAAUGGUAUAUGUUGAAUCAUGUGCAAGUUAUGUUGAAAAUUUUGUUACAAAUGCAUAGAGACAUGUGAUAAAAUUUAAAAUGUCACAGAGAGAAAAAACAGACAACAAUAAUGCCUUUUUACUGUGCUCGGUUUACUUUUUAUAGUCUCAUGUAUGAAUUAAAACCACACCUGAUGAAGUGCUUUGAGCUUCAGUUGCAAAAACAUACCUUUGCACAUGAUUUUAAGAGUAUAAGUAAUUUAAUAAUCUGUCUUAUGAUGGUUUCCACUUAGUCCCUAAGACUCAUAAUUUUUAUUCAUGUAUAGUAUAAUCAUGUAAAAUGCAUGAUUGCUUCAUUAAAGGCCAACUGAAAAGAAAA